rnacentral:rRNA from 1 species
UACGUAGGGGGCAAGCGUUGUCCGGAAUCAUUGGGCGUAAAGAGCGUGUAGGCGGCUCGAUAAGUCUGCUGUGAAAGUCCAGGGCUCAACCCUGGAAGGCCGGUGGAAACUGUCGGGCUAGAGUCCGGAAGAGGCGAGUGGAAUUCCCGGUGUAGCGGUGAAAUGCGCAGAUAUCGGGAGGAACACCUAUGGCGAAGGCAGCUCGCUGGGACGUUACUGACGCUGAGACGCGAAAGCGUGGGGAGCAAACAGG